rnacentral:lncRNA from 1 species
ACCUGCUUCAUUUUGAUGGGGAGCAGCCUGUUGAGAGUGUGGAGAUCACGACUUUGCAUCUUCCCAGGAGUUGCUUGUCUGAAGAAACCAGCAGAUGGAGUCUGUUGGAAGACACGAGGGUCUGGCAGCAGCCGGAGAAACCAGCUCGAUUUUUUUUUGUAAGGGAGUGAUGACUGAAAGCCUUUGCCAUGUGAGGUCCAGUCUGGAAACUGGUGGAAGCUGGUCGACACUGAAGGAUUCAUGGAGAGCAGCUUUGCUGGGAACCCAGGGUGCUUGCUCCUUAGUGCCUGUCCCACCACUGACCGUUUCUUAGAGCACGCAGAAGGUCCAGCUGGAGUUUGCACGGAGCAAAACGGUGGAGGAACGUCUUCUGCAGAGGCUGGCCCCCCAACCACGUCAUCCCCUCCAAAGCUGGUCCCAGCUGUGCGUGGUGGAAACACAGAGGGUGAAAGGACUGACUCGCUCCUAAGAUGGCUUUGGUUCAGGAGCUGCCUUUCCCAGCCUGUGCCAGGCGUAGGUGUGGGCAUCGUGGCUGCUACUGAGCACUGCUAAUGUUACAAUUAAAAAAAAAAAAAAAAUCC